rnacentral:rRNA from 2 species
GCUGGCGUUCCUUGCGAGUGGGGCACGGGUGCGUAUGCGUAUGUAACCUACCUUAUUCAGGGGGAUAGCCUCUCGAAAGAGAGAUUAGUACCGCAUAACAUUAUUUUGUGGCAUCGCGGGAUAAUCAAAUAUUUAUAGGACUAAGAUGGGCGUGCGCAACAUGAGCUAGUUGGUGUGGUAACGGCAUACCAAGGCGACGGUGUUUAGGGGAUCUGAGAGGAUGACCCCCCACGCUGGUACUGAGACACGGACCAGACUCCUACGGGAGGCAGCAGUAAGGAAUAUUGGUCAAUGGACGGAAGUCUGAACCAGCCAUGCCGCGUGCAGGAAGACGGCCCUACGGGUUGUAAACUGCUUUUGUACCGGAAUAAACCUGAUUAUGUAUAGUCAGCUGAAUGUACGGUAAGAAUAAGGAUCGGCUAACUCCGUGCCAGCAGCCGCGGUAAUACGGAGGAUCCAAGCGUUAUCCGGAUUUAUUGGGUUUAAAGGGUGCGUAGGCGGCUUUUUAAGUCAGGGUGAAAGACGGUAGCUCAACUAUCGCAGUGCCCUUGAUACUGAAGAGCUUGAAUGUACUUGAGGUAGGCGGAAUGUGACAAGUAGCGGUGAAAUGCAUAGAUAU